GACACUAAGGACCACGAGAGACAGAAAGGAGUGCAUGGUGAAGAAGACCAUAUGAACAGAGUGACCAUAAAUGCAACAAGAGCAGUGAUGAUAAAGCUGAUCUCUCUGGAUGCUGAACUGCAAACACUCGAGGGCAGAUGUGUAUUGGAGGCGUAGGGGGAUUGAGAGAAACACUCCGCCACUGCCUUGAAACUUGCCUUGCACUGCUGCUCAAAAUGAACUUGAGAUGUGUUUGUUACCCACACCCCGACAAAGACUUGUAUGCCGCAACACAUUGGAGUCACGGAUAUGGGAUGGAAUCCUGGGAUUCAUUUUUACUUACCCAGACACGUGAUCGUUCUGGUAAUCUUAUCGCACUGGAAGUCAUAUGUGUUUAUGUAGGGACUGACUCAAGUGCUCUAUUACACUGUAAAACAAAUGUUCAUGUUUGUCAACAACAUUU